rnacentral:rRNA from 1 species
AUGCUUAACACAUGCAAGUCGAACGCGAAAGUCCCUUCGGGGGCAAGUAGAGCGGCGGACGGGUGAGCAAUACGUGGAUAACCUUCCCUCGAGCUUGGGAUAACCCUGCGAAAGCGGGGCUAAUACCGGAUAAGACCACAUGUCAUAUGCCAUGUGGUAGAAGGUGGCUUAUAUUUAUAUGAGCUAUCACUUGAGGAUGAGUCCAUGGCCUAUCAGCUUGUUGGUGAGGUAAGAGCUCACCAAGGCUAUGACGGGUAGCUGGUCUGAAAGGACGACCAGCCACACUGGGACUGAGAUACGGCCCAGACUCCUACGGGAGGCAGCAGUGGGGAAUAUUGGGCAAUGGGCGAAAGCCUGACCCAGCGACGCCGCGUGGGCGAUGAAGGCCUUCGGGUUGUAAAGCCCUGUCAUGCGGAAAGAACGACCCUGAGACGCAUACUCUCAGGGAGUGACGGUACCGCAGGAGGAAGCACCGGCUAACUCCGUGCCAGCAGCCGCGGUAAUACGGAGGGUGCAAGCGUUGUUCGGAAUUAUUGGGCGUAAAGGGCGCGUAGGCGGUAAUGUAAGUCAGAUGUGAAAUACUUCGGCUCAACUGAAGAACUGCAUCUGAAACUACAUAACUAGAGUACAGAAGAGGGAAACGGAAUUCCCGGUGUAGAGGUGAAAUUCGUAGAUAUCGGAAGGAACACCAGUGG